rnacentral:lncRNA from 1 species
UUCUCCUAGCAGCCUUCAGAUGAAGAUGCAGAAUUCUCAGCUCCUGCAUCAUGCCUGCCUGGAUGCUACCAUGUUCCUGCCUUGAUGAUAAUGGACUAAACCUCUGAACCUUGUCACUUGGCUGAGGAUGCCGAGACUCCUGAAGGGGGGAUGCGGGAGAAGAUGCAUCACUUGGGACAGUUACCAUCGUCCAUCUACUCAUGCCAUCUCACAAGAAGGGCAAGAGGACCUCGGAUGAUGGCAUGCCUCGCUUUCCACUUGGUCUGGGCUGCUCUUCUGUCUGAACCUGUGCCACCCCAGCUCAUCUGGAGCAAAUGGGAUGCUGUCUUCAUGAGCAGGCUGGUGGGAGGACCUGGGCUUACAACCCAGAAUCACUGGGCAGCAUAAAAGGUUCCCAACACCCUAGUGGAGGUGAAGGACAUGGAACCUACUGUCUAAAUUAGGACACUUGGCAUGGUGACAAUAUGGGACCUGUCUGAGGCCACACUGCUGGAUGGCAGAACAGCAGCAACUCAGUUUCCACCAUCUUCUGACUAAAGUUUCACAGUCUGACCAUAACCCAGCCAUGCUGAAGGUUCAGCAUCUUCUCUAGGGACCCCUCUACACACUGCUGGCCAUGUUAAAGAUGGCUCUCCACUCUAAUAACAG